UAUUUGAUACCGAAAAAAUAAACAUAAACUAUGUUGGGACUUAGGAUCGUCUUGCAUGUGCUAUCAAUAAAAAAUAAACGAACAAAAAAAUAGAAAAAAUAAUAGAAAAGAAUAUACAGAAAAAGAGACAGCGAUUUACGUGGUUCGGCUAGUUGCCUACGUCCACGGGGAGAGCAAGAAAUACAUCCUUUAUAUGAAGAAAACCAAAAUACAAAUCCACAAUUUCUCUCAAUCUAAAUAUAAGAGUAUUAUGGUUACUACCACCCUUCUCUUGUUAUAAGAAAAAAAAUUUCUUAAAUAAAGAGAAACUCAACAAGCUACUAAUUAAGUUCCCAGGUUUCACCUCACACCUCACUUAAUUCUCGUUGCUUGUUGCUUAUGCUUGUUCUGAGUGUUUAGAAUGGAGUUGCAACAUGCAGUUGCACAUUGAAGUUGGCAACUUUAAUUAUCAACUUUCCUUAAUUAGUCUAUGUAUAGACUUUUUGACAAUCAUGGCAGCAUGUGUUUCAUUCAUGCAUGCAUGAAACACAAGCAUACUUCACCAUCCAAUGAAAACCAUUCUAUUCACACCGUAAAUACUUUGGUAGAUCUAGUGUGUCAUGAACCGACUUUCACAUUCAGGUCUCUUUUGUAUAUUAAUCCAAAAAAUUUGAUAGACUAAACAAAUAUCUUUAUACCCUAUACAAAAAAAGACAUAUAGCCAACAAGCUACACGGCAGUUGUACUGAAUGAAUUUAUUUUUUCCACUUUACUGCUCUAUUAGAAGCAGAUAAAGUCAAAGCUCCGCUAA
rnacentral:lncRNA from 1 species